AUGGCAGGGGAGGGAGCAGCGGGCAGGGGCGCCCGAGGCCACGAGCAGGCGAGCACGGCCAGGGGGCUCGCGGGCGCAGCCGCGCGGGGCAUGGCCCAGGGGCACGAGGCCGCAGCGGGGAACACGGCGGGAGCGUGGCCAGAGGCAGACGCGGCCGACACGGCGGGGAUCGGCAGGGCGUGGCCUAGGCUCUGUGAGCACGGGUUCGGUCGGAGCUCGCGUGGCGUGGGGGCUGGGCAACGGCACGUCGAACAGAGGGAAAGACGAGGGGAAUCGACAUGGGCUCACCCUGGGGAGGCCGUGGACGAGCUUGCCGAGGUCGGGUAG
rnacentral:rRNA from 1 species